ensembl:lncRNA
AUGGAAGUGAGAAGAAAAAUCAAUGGAAGAGAGUCUGUGGAUGGACUGAGUUUCAUAAUCUAAAAAUGAAAUAACCAUAAUUACUUCUCCUAGUAUAUCCAUCCAGAUGACAUGUGGACAUUUACAUAGAGGUAACAGGAGGGCCUACGUAAAGCCUUCUGCAAAAAGUUGGUUUCUCAAAAAAUGUACAUUCUCUUGGAUUCUUGAGAUUCUAGAAACUUAUUUCAAUUAAAACCAAGUGAAAUGACCACAGUUUUGGUGUCACCUGCAUUCAUACAACCAGAGGGUAGCUUUAGGGAGCAACACACGGGCAUGGAUCCCCAAGGUCACCCUGUCUUCAUGUCCUCUCCGCACCCCGCCAUCAAAAGCCCCACCGAGAACAGUCUGUGUUUUCCUGCUUACCGCAGAUCGCUAUCUGCAUGUAGUCUCUCUCCUCCAGCUCCCCUCUAGGCGUUUCUAACCCCUUAUGAGGUUAGAGAGCUUGUACUGUGGCGCGAGAAAAUAUUCAUGCACUGACUGGAUGUCCUCAGGAGAAAGCAGACCGCAGGCCCAAUUCUGUUGCCACUAAGUGAGACGAGUUUAUCCCCUUUUCUUUGGACAGUUUAAUGCCAAAGCUUCGAGAAGAGGGUAAACAGCCCAAUUUGAGCCCGAGCCCGAGUUGCGAUGUCUGAGAGGGAUCCGAGCGGAUGUGGAAUUACAUGUUGGUACCUGAGCGCCCCCACCCUGGAAUGAAUGUCUGCUUCCAAAGCACUCGAUUCCGGAGGGAGGUGGAAGGAGCAGCAGAGACCGCUUCGUGCCCACACGCGCAGCCAUCUGCCGUUCCAACUGCACACCUCUCCCCUCCGCUUCCUGCUAGUGAUUCACCUCUUCUCUUUCUCCUUCAAAGAUAACUGUGUAGGCAUUUAAGGAGGGGAACGUCAUUAAGAAAAGGGGAAUCUGGAGUUCUUCGGAUGAGGUAGAGCCGAUUCAACUGUCUGGAAUUUCACAAAGCAAACAGGGUGGGCGUGGGCUCUGGGCUCCUCUCUCCUGCUGCUGCCUCGUUUCAUAACAGGCUCUCAGCAUCCAGGUCACCAGCGAUAGCUGCCUGCAAACUAGGAGCGCAUGUGUUGCUGAAAAGCAGAGGGGAGAGGAGCUCCCGUCGUGGCGCAGUGGUUAAUGAAUCCGACUAGGAACCAUGAGGUUGCGGGUUCGAUCCCUGCCCUUGCUCAGUGGGUUCAGGAUCCAGCGUUGCCGUGAGCUAUGGUGUAGGCGGCAGACGUGGCUCGGACCCUGCAUUGCUGUGGCUGUGGUGUAGACUGGUGGCUACAGUUCCGAUUCGACCCCUAGCCUGGGAGCCUUCAUAUGCCGACAGAGCGGCCCUAGAAAAGGCAAAAAGACAAAAAAAAAAAGGCGAAAAAGCAGAGGGGAGAAAGGUGUCAGUCGCGGGAAGGAUCUGAGUCUCCCAGCUGGAGACACGGCUCGUCUUCCCUGCCAUCACACUUGGCCACCGUCUUUGACUUCACACCGGCGGAUGGCGUCUGUGGGACUUUUUCUGAGCAGACCGAAAAGCUGCCACCAAGGUCACGCUUCAAAGGAGACCUUGACCAAGAACCAGAGAAGGAGAUUCCAGUCCCCGGCACCAAAAAGGGUUUUAGUGACAACAUGCUGGGUGUUGCCGAGCAUGUCCAAAGCGGGGGGGCUUCAGAGAUAGUUGAUCAGCGGCGUCGCUGGGAGGCAGAUGGGCCUCGGUUUGAACCUGCGCUCUGCGUCCACCUUCUCGGAUGUUAGACAAGCUUCUAAACCUCUGGGGCUGUCAGGUGCCUCACGUGCGUGGCUUCAGGAUAGGACACCUACCUCACGGGGUGGAGUAAGGGCCGCAGAGGAUGAGGGAGAUGAAGGGCGGCCUGAGGUCCUCAAAACAAGGUAGAUACGCAGAUGUUAGAGGAGCAGGAAGAUGCCUCCUCGUUUCACUUCCGCGCUGACGACGCCCGGUGGACUCGAAGGAGAACUGGGGGGGAGGGACCAGCUCCAACGGGAGAGGAAGGGGCAGGCAUCCUGUGGGACCCCGCAGUAGAGCUGCAUGGGACAGACUCUUUCUGUUAAUGUAGCACACAGGGGACAAGGAGGGAGGCAAGGGACCAGAAGAGCCUGAUGGCGUCUUCUCCUGCCACCCCUGACAGUCACCACAUCCCCCGUGGCAAAUGGAAGACCCAAGAAGUGAGCGUUGUGACUCCUUAAAUGGACGGUGCUCUUUUUCUUUUUUCUUUUUCUUUUUUGCUUUUUUUAGGGGCGCACCUGUGACCUAUGGACGUUCCCAGGCUGUGGGUCGAAUUGGAGCUACCCCUGCUGGUCUGCCCCAGAGCCAUAGCAACACCAGAUCCGAGCCAUGCCUGCACCCUACACCACGGCUCACGGCCACGUCAGAUCCUUAACCCACUGAGCAAGGCCAGAGAUCGAACCCGCAUUCUCAAGGAUACUAGUCCGGCUCGUUACUGCUGAGCCACAAUGGGAACUUCUGAACCGUGUUCUUAAAGACUCUAGCAUGAUGCCUCCAUUUUUCUCAUCUGUAAAGUGGGCGCUCUAAUAGCACUUACAUGUCGAGUUGUUGUGAGAUGAAGAUGAAAUAAGAUAAUCAGUGGUGAAGGACCAAGCACCGGAGCCCAGGAUAAUUGGCCGUCUGCGAAUGUUAGCUGAUGUUAUUACUUUGUGUCCCUUGUCAAUAUAUGGAAUUGUGAACAAUUACUUCAUUAACUUGUUGCUGCGGGGAUCGAUGUUCAUUUAAUAAGCACUCGCCCACUCCGUCGAGGGAACUGAAUCCUUCAGACGCUCCAUUCCUUUAUGGAUCAUCAAACAUUUCCUCACCUCGUAGGCUAUGCUGGUGCUAUGCUGAGCUCAGGAGAUGGGCUCAUUUGGCAAAAGAAGCUUGAAGACUGGUCAGGGAGAGAGACACAUAGAGGCAAAGAGGGCGAGACAAGGUAUAGGAAGUGUCAGCCGUCAGGAAGGGCCUCUCAGAGAAGAUGCUUUUGGAACUGCAUCCUGAAGGAUGAGCAGCCUGAGGAGUUUGGGCUUGGGGACUUCAGGUGACAAAAACAGCUUGCAAAAAAGGAUGAAGUUGUGGG